ACCCAGACUCCUACGGGAGGCAGCAGUGGGGAAUAUUGCACAAUGGGGGAAACCCUGAUGCAGCGACGCCGCGUGAGCGAUGAAGUAUUUCGGUAUGUAAAGCUCUAUCAGCAGGGAAGAAGAUGACGGUACCUGACUAAGAAGCCCUGGCUAACUACGUGCCAGCAGCCGCGGUAAUACGUAGGGGGCAAGCGUUAUCCGGAUUUACUGGGUGUAAAGGGAGCGUAGACGGCGAUGCAAGCCAGAUGUGAAAGCCCGGGGCUCAACCCCGGGACUGCAUUUGGAACUGUGUGGCUGGAGUGUCGGAGAGGCAGGCGGAAUUCCUAGUGUAGCGGUGAAAUGCGUAGAUAUUAGGAGGAACACCAGUGGCGAAGGCGGCCUGCUGGACGAUGACUGACGUUGAGGCUCGAAAGCGUGGGGAGCAAACAGGAAUAGAUACCCCCGUAC
rnacentral:rRNA from 1 species